rnacentral:rRNA from 1 species
AUUGAACGCUGGCGGCAGGCCUAACACAUGCAAGUCGAGCGGAUGAAGGGAGCUUGCUCCUCGCUUCAGCGGCGGACGGGUGAGUAAUGCAUAGGAAUCUGACUGGUAGUGGGGGAUAACGUCCGGAAACGGGCGCUAAUCCCGCAUACGUCAUGAGGGAGAAAGUGGGGGAUCUUCGGUCGUAGAGCUACCAGCUGAGCCUUGGUGGGAGUUGCUAGUUGGUGGGGUAAAGGCCUACCAAGGCGACGAACCAAAACAGGUCUGAGAGGAUGAUCAGUCACACUGGAACUGAGACACGGUCCAGACUCCUACGGGAGGCAGCAGUGGGGAAUAUUGGACAAUGGGCGAAAGCCUGAUCCAGCCAUGCCGCGUGUGUGAAGAAGGUCUUCGGAUUGUAAAGCACUUUAAGUUGGGAGGAAGGUCAGUAAGUGAAUACCUGGCUGUUUUGACGGUACCAACAGAAUAAGCAACGGCUAACUUCGUG